GUCCUCUUGUUUCUAGGUUGUUGGGGGCUGUGGGGCUUCCAGAGCUUUGGGAGUUAGAAGCAGAACCUCGAACACAGUACUAGGUUUGCCUUGCAGACAUGACAUCUGCCCCCUGCCCAGCCUCUAGGUGGCCUGGCCUUACCUACCUACAAUAGUUAGAAGCAGGAUUCAAGGCAGCCUUUGGCUAUUUGUGUCUUUCACAGAAACAGUCCUGUCACCCUCUUCUCCCCCAUCACUCUUUGGAUGCAGGUCUAGUUGGCCACACAGUGUCUCCCUAUCCCAGCUCAGGGUGCCUAACGGGCACCUGCCCUGCUCUGGUCAUGGCUUUGGGUAGCUGCUGGGACCUAGGAUCCUGCUGGCUGACCCUGCAUGCCUUGGCCUAGUAUAGCCAGUGCCAGCACCCUGGCUUGGGAUGGGCCUCUGUAUGUGGCAAGAUUGGGUCUCACUGGCCGCUCUGCUUGUGUUGUCUUUUUCCCACCUGCCGGUACCCCACCCUGCCUGUCCUCAGGACCCUCUGUCUCUGUCCACAGUGCCCUCAGCCAGCAUGACCCGCCUUGCGCGCUCUCGUACCGCGUCCCUCACCAGCGCCAGUUCUGUGGAUGGUAGCCGCCCUCAGCCCUGCACCCACUCAGACAGCAGUGAGGGGAUGGGCCAGGUCAACCACACCAUGGAGGUGUCCUGCUGAAGUCCUCGUCCUGCCCAAGACACCCGCUUACCUGCCCCCAGGUCCCACUGCCAUCUUCGCACCGGCUCAUCUUCCCUCUGGUUUAUUUUUGUGAGAGUGAAGGGGAGGAAAUGGGGUUACUUCUCUUUUACUUAAAACGAAGGGAUCCACCUUAGGACGGCGCAGAACAACAGUCUUAGAGGAUGUGAAGGGCUCACCUUAUACACUCGCAUCUCACCGGCCACUGGUUGAUACGGCCCCCUUCGUCUGCCCGUCUGGGGUGUGGCCAGGAUGUAGGACAUAGUACGAAAGAAAGCACAGCCCACCCCCUGGAGCUGGCAGAUAGGGAGUUUGAAGAUGGCAGGUGCUGAGCCAAGGCUCUGUUGUGAGUGGGAGUCAGACCAGUGGGGAGCCGUCCCUUUUCUGUAACCCUUGUACCAAGCACACCUAACAGUAGAGGUGACAGUCAUGAGGACAGUAGCCACAAGAGAGCGCUCUGAGCAGUCAGCCAUUUUCCUGGUGCUCUCUGGGCAGGACAUGAUAGAAGGCUAGCCAGGCUGAAGACAGAAUAUGGAGAACCCUGACAUGGGGGCAGGAACCCCAUACUCUGCCACCACAGGGCCAUGUCCCACCCUGAGGCAAAGGUCACCUGGUCUCUCUUGUCCCCGUUGGUAGAGGUGAAAUGUUGAUGGCUUUGUAUGCUGUGUACAGCCCCUGAGAACUUCAUGGUUGCCCCUUUGGGAGCUGGCAGGUACUGUAGGUCCCUCCUAUCCCAGGUUUCAAACAGCGAGUGUUUGUCACAGUGCCCUGGUCGACCUGGGCCGGCGUGUCACAGACAUUAUUACUUGAGAAGUGAGCAUUAGGAAGAUACAAGACAGAAAGAUACAAUGACCUCUGCUUGCUGAAGGGGCUGGAAAUGGCCUGCUCCUUGUGUGGGAGAUGGGUUAUUCUCCAGAUGAACAAAGGCUCCGUACCUCCUACAGCCCGCAACUAUGUCUGCCACCUGACCAUGUAGACUCUCACAGCCCAGAGCUAUUGUGUCAGCCAUCCCCAGAGAAGAGAGAGAGCACUUAAGUGUGAAUAUGGGGUGGGCGUGAUGUAUGUGGUGUUGUGUGGGUGUUCUGAGGCAGGAGGACACCUACAUCCGUGUGUCUGUGGCAUAUGCCACCCCUUCUUUCUGUAACUGUAAGCCAUUUCCAGACUGCUCUGAAGUCCAGUGGAGUGUAUCCUAUCCCUGGUUCUGUUCACUCACGUGCUUCCGUGAAUACCGAGUGUGACUGUUUAAAGCUGGCAGAAUUAAUCCCUUACUGUAGAUAGCACUUCAAGUAUUGGACAUCUUUUUGCUGUGUUCUUAAGAUAUCUAUAAAUACCUAUACAUUAUAUAUAUAUGUAUGUAUAUCGGGUCCUUCUGUAUGUGGUUUCCCAUUGAUGGUUGUCUUCUCUUUGGUCAGGAUGAACUUUUAAUGGAGUUCAUUACUUCCCUCUCUGUACAAAGUUAAGAGCCUAAUUUUGUGUAUUCUGGUGGCUGAUAAGAGACUUUGAGAUUACAAAAUGCAAAACAAAAAUCCUUAUUGAUAUAGAAAGAUAUCUGUGCAGAAAAACUAAUAAAGAAAUUAAGCGUA
rnacentral:lncRNA from 1 species